CAAAUCGCCUAUAGGGGGGGAAAUCCUUCGAAAGAAAAAACCUAUCCCUUCAGAUCCAUUGCGAUGGUUGAGGCCGGAGGCGAUUGAUUCUAGUUCUGGUCAGAUCCCGUCGACAGGUUUCCCCUGUCGGAUCUUGGCGGCGGCGAGUCCAUACUGGACGCAGAAGCCACCCAAACUCUGGUUUGCACAACCGCCCAGUCCAGCAUUGGUGAUGUGGGCGCCGCGGUCGUCACACUACAGUUAAAGUUGAACAGCACUUGCGAGGGGCUGAGCUUGUCGGCGCCCAACUCAAAGCAGUCAAUCGGGAAGGAUCAUCCUCAGGCACUGGGCUGGACGAAGAGGUCCGAGUUAGUCGUGCACCUCUUGAACGACCACUUUGCUGGCAGAAUAAGUGUUCUGGAGAAAACAUUGACAUGUUGUGCAUAGAAGAAGACUGACAUUGUCAUAGUUCCUACAGUCGGAAACAACUUUGAUUCGCUUGGAGAAGCAUAUGACUAUCACAGUAUGUAUUCCAGGGAAAUUGGGUUUGGAAUUAAGUACAAAAAAAGCGGACUGAACAUUGAGAGAACAAACUGUAUGCAGGAGAUAGUCUGCGGCUGUUCGGGGUCCAAAAAGAAGCAACACACGGUCUUGUCGAUGUAGGUGCCCAGUGAUGAUACGGUUGCUCCGGUUAAAAGACAACGGCUAGUACACAAGCGAGCACAGGACAUCCCACAAUCACUCUCUUACAGAUAAGUAUGCAUGCGGCGUCUCAAUUAAUGAUGCUAUUCGGGCACAAAUCAUGGAUUUUAUGGGAGUCACGGAGACACACCAGACAGGGGUGACUUACCGAAGAAACUGAUGAGGUAGCUGAAAUGCACCAACUGUGGCGUAUGUGGUGACCGGCGAAAUACGUGUGGAAACCCAAGUAUGGUGCUUCGUGCAGUGUCUCCUACUGAAACAACAAUCCGGCUGGAGGGGACAGUUAGGUAUUUAGCUUUGUUUCUAGUUUUGCGUCCAAUUUGUACAAUUUGAUGUUGGCUUGUGAGCUAGUAGAAUUUUCCUAAAACUGUGUACAUUUUACGUAACCGUGUGUCACACGGAAAAUAAGCCACCCCUGGUAAUCGGCGUGGUGAAGUAUUGUGAAAAAUGAUGA